rnacentral:tRNA from 1 species
GCCCCCAUAGCUCAACGGAUAGAGCAGUUCCGUCCUAAGGAAACGAUCUGGGUUCAAUUCCUGGUGGGGGCA